rnacentral:rRNA from 1 species
GAUGAACGCUGGCGGCGUGCCUAAUACAUGCAAGUAGAACGCUGAAGGAGGAGCUUGCUCUUCUGGAUGAGUUGCGAACGGGUGAGUAACGCGUAGGUAACCUGCCUGGUAGCGGGGGAUAACUAUUGGAAACGAUAGCUAAUACCGCAUGACAACAGUUAUUGCAUGAUAACUGUUUAAAAGGGGCAACUGUUCGACUACCAGAUGGACCUGCGUUGUAUUAGCUAGUUGGUGAGGUAACGGCUCACCAAGGCGACGAUACAUAGCCGACCUGAGAGGGGGAUCGGCCACACUGGGACUGAGACACGGCCCAGACUCCUACGGGAGGCAGCAGUAGGGAAUCUUCGGCGAUGGACGGAAGUCUGACCGAGCAACGCCGCGUGAGUGAAGAAGGUUUUCGGAUCGUAAAGCUCUGUUGUAAGAGAAGAACGAGUGUGAGAGUGGAAAGUUCACACUGUGACGGUAUCUUACCAGAAAGGGACGGCUAACUACGUG